rnacentral:rRNA from 1 species
GAUCCUGGCUCAAGACGAACGCUGGCGGCGUGCUUAACACAUGCAAGUCGAACGGAGUACCCUCGAAAGAGAUUUCGGUCAAUGGAGAGGACUACUUAGUGGCGGACGGGUGAGUAACGCGUGAGGAACCUGCCUUUCAGAGGGGGACAACAGUUGGAAACGACUGCUAAUACCGCAUAACGUACGGGUAUCGCAUGGUACUGGUACCAAAGAUUUAUCGCUGAGAGAUGGCCUCGCGUCUGAUUAGCUAGUUGGUAGGGUAACGGCCUACCAAGGCGACGAUCAGUAGCCGGACUGAGAGGUUGGCCGGCCACAUUGGGACUGAGAUACGGCCCAGACUCCUACGGGAGGCAGCAGUGGGGAAUAUUGGGCAAUGGGCGCAAGCCUGACCCAGCAACGCCGCGUGAAGGAAGAAGGCUUUCGGGUUGUAAACUUCUUUUGACAGGGAAGAGCAGAAGACGGUACCUGUCGAAUAAGCCACGGCUAACUACGUGCCAGCAGCCGCGGUAAUACGUAGGUGGCAAGCGUUGUCCGGAUUUACUGGGUGUAAAGGGCGUGUAGCCGGGCUGACAAGUC